rnacentral:lncRNA from 1 species
GUGUAAAGGAGAGCUCCUGUUCCCUGGCACUGCCUGAAGGGACCCCAGUCGACAGUCACAAGCAACCUGUGAAGGGUGCUGCGGAGACUCCUUGCUCUACUGCCCAUGAAGAAAGUCCAGUCGGCGGUGACGAG